GAUGAACGCUGGCGGCGUGCCUAAUACAUGCAAGUCGAGCGAACGGACGAGGCGCUUGCUUCGCUGAUGUUAGGGGAGGACGGGUGAGUAACGCGUGGAUCACCUACCUAUAAGACUGGGAUAACUACGGGAAACCGGCGCUAACACCGGAUAAUCUUUUGAUCCGCAUGGUUCAAUAGUGAAAGACGGUCUUGCUGUAACUACUAGCUGGAUCCGCGCUGCAUUAGCUAGUUGGUAAGGUACAGGCUUAUGAAGGCGACGAGGCAUAGCCGACCUGAGGGGCGGAUAGCCGACACUGGAACUGAGACAGGCACCAUACUCCUACGGUAGGCAGCAGUAGCGUACGGUCCGCAAUGGGCGAGAGCCUGACGCAGUAACGCGGCGUGAGUUAUGAAGGUCUUCGGAUCGGAAAACUCUGCUACGAGGGAAGAACAUAUGUGCACGUAACUGUGCAGAUCGUGACGGUACCUAAUCAGAAAGCCACGGCUAACUACGUG
rnacentral:rRNA from 1 species